rnacentral:rRNA from 1 species
GAUCCUGGCUUAGGAUGAACGCUAGCUACAGGCUUAACACAUGCAAGUCGAGGGGCAGCAUAAUCGAAGCUUGCUUUGAUUGAUGGCGACCGGCGCACGGGUGAGUAACGCGUAUCCAACCUUCCCCUUAGUAGGGCAUAGCCCGGCGAAAGUCGGAUUAAUACCCUAUGUUAUCCGUCGAGGACAUCUGAAGUGGAUUAAAGAUUUAUCGCUAAGGGAUGGGGAUGCGUCUGAUUAGGUUGUUGGCGGGGUAACGGCCCACCAAGCCUACGAUCAGUAGGGGUUCUGAGAGGAAGGUCCCCCACAUUGGUACUGAGACACGGACCAAACUCCUACGGGAGGCAGCAGUGAGGAAUAUUGGUCAAUGGGCGAGAGCCUGAACCAGCCAAGUAGCGUGCCAGGAUGACGGCCCUAUGGGUUGUAAACUGCUUUUGCAUGGGAAUAAAGUCGGGGACGUGUCCCCGUUUGUAUGUACCAUGAGAAUAAGGACCGGCUAAUUCCGUGCCAGCAGCUGC